UAACAGGAUUUGGGGAGCAGAAAAAAUUCUAAUUAGUCACCUUGGUUCGGAAAAAUGAACAUUGGACCCUUCAUGUCUAUGCAACCUAGUACUACCAUGCAAAACAAAAAUACAGUUUAAAUACUAGCCAAAGCAUCUAUGCCUACACUGAACAAAAUCAAAGUUUCAGCAGAGUUCAACAUAGAUCCAACAGCGAACAAUACGAUAGAAAUCCAGAAAUAAACUUGUAAUCCAG